GGGGAUAUAGCUCAGCCGGUAGAGCGUUCGGUUCGCAUCCGAAAGGUCGUGGGUUCAAAUCCCAUUAUCUCCACCA
rnacentral:tRNA from 1 species